rnacentral:siRNA from 1 species
AUGCCCGAUUUGCAUUCGGUAUA